rnacentral:rRNA from 1 species
CAGGACGAACGCUGGCGGCACGCUUAACACAUGCAAGUCGAACGAACGGAGAUAGCUUGCUAUCAAAGUUAGUGGCGGACGGGUGAGUAACACGUGAGCAAUCUGCCUUUAAGUGGGGAAUAACGAUUGGAAACGGUCGGUAAUACCGCAUAAUAUAGCGAAACCGCAUGAUUUUGCUAUCAAAGAUUUAUCGCUUAAAGAUGAGCUCGCGUCUGAUUAGCUAGUUGGUGAGGUAACGGCUCACCAAGGCGACGAUCAGUAGCCGGACUGAGAGGUUGAACGGCCACAUUGGGACUGAGACACGGCCCAGACUCCUACGGGAGGCAGCAGUGGGGAAUAUUGCACAAUGGGCGCAAGCCUGAUGCCAGCGAUGCCGCGUGAGGGAAGAAGGUUUUCGGAUUGUAAACCUCUGUUGACAGGGACGAUAAUGACGGUACCUGUUCAGAAAGCUCCGGCUAACUACGUGCCAGCAGCUGC